rnacentral:rRNA from 1 species
CCUACGGGAGGCAGCAGUAUUUACUAUUUCUCCCUUUUUUCCCCCCUGCCGCCGCCCCGCCGCGUGGAGGAUGAAGGUUUUCGGAUUGUAAACUCCUUUUGUUAGAGAAGAUAAUGACGGUAUCUAACGAAUAAGCACCGGCUAACUCCGUGCCAGCAGCCGCGGUAAUACGGAGGGUGCAAGCGUUACUCGGAAUCACUGGGCGUAAAGAGCGCGUAGGCGGGAUAGCAAGUCAGAUGUGAAAUCCUAUGGCUUAACCAUAGAACUGCAUGUGAAACUGUUAUUAUAGAGUAUGGGAGAGGUAGGUGGAAUGCUUGGUGUAGGGGUAAAAUGCGUAGAGAUCAAGAGGAAUACUCAUUGCGAAGGCGACCUGCUAGAACAUAACUGACGCUGAUGCGCGAAAGCGUGGGGAGCAAACAGGAUUAGAUACCCCGGUAGUC